rnacentral:tRNA from 1 species
GCUUAUAUAGCGCAGUUGGUAGCGCAACUCAUUCGUAAUGAGUAGGUCGCCGGUUCGAGUCCGGCUAUGAGCU